rnacentral:rRNA from 1 species
CCUACGGGGGGCAGCAGUAGGGAAUCUUCGGCAAUGGACGGAAGUCUGACCGAGCAACGCCGCGUGAGUGAAGAAGGUUUUCGGAUCGUAAAGCUCUGUUGUAAGAGAAGAACGAGUGUGAGAGUGGAAAGUUCACACUGUGACGGUAUCUUACCAGAAAGGGACGGCUAACUACGUGCCAGCAGCCGCGGUAAUACGUAGGUCCCGAGCGUUAUCCGGAUUUAUUGGGCGUAAAGCGAGCGCAGGCGGUUAGAUAAGUCUGAAGUUAAAGGCUGUGGCUUAACCAUAGUACGCUUUGGAAACUGUUUAACUUGAGUGCAGAAGGGGAGAGUGGAAUUCCAUGUGUAGCGGUGAAAUGCGUAGAUAUAUGGAGGAACACCGGUGGCGAAAGCGGCUCUCUGGUCUGUAACUGACGCUGAGGCUCGAAAGCGUGGGGAGCAAACAGGAUUAGAUACCCGAGUAGUC